rnacentral:tRNA from 1 species
GCCCCGAUGGUGAAAUAGGUAGACACAGCGGACUUAAAAUCCGCGGCCCCCAACCGGGCGUACCGGUUCGAUUCCGGUUCGGGGCACCA